rnacentral:rRNA from 1 species
CUAGCCAUGCAGUCUCAGUACGAACUAACUUAAAGUGAAACCGCAAAAGGCUCAGUAAACCGGUCAUAGUUUACCGGAUAUAUGUUACUUACGUGGAUAACUGUGGUAAUUCUAGAGCUAAUACAUGCAAACAAGUCCCGACCAGCGAUGGGGAGGACGCUUUUAUUGGAUCAAAACCUUUCGCCCGGCUUGCCCGGGCGUCAGCUUGAUGACUCUAGAUAACACCACAGAUCGCACGGUCACAGUACCGGUGACAUAUCCUUCAAAUGUCUGACUUAUCAGCUGUCGAUGGUAGACUCUGUGUCUACCAUGGCGCUCACGGGUGACGGGGAAUCAGGGUUCGAUUCCGGAGAGGGAGCCUGAGAAACGGCUACCACAUCCAAGGAAGGCAGCAGGCACGCAAAUUACCCACUCCCGGCACGGGGAGGUAGUGACAAAAAAUAACGAUACGGGACUCAUCCGAGGCCCCGUAAUCGGAAUGAGAACACCCUAAAUCCUUUAACGAGGAUCUAUUGGAGGGCAAGUCUGGUGCCAGCAGCCGCGGUAAUUCCAGCUCCAAUAGCGUAUAUUAAAGUUGUUGCGGUUAAAAGCUC